GAUGAACGCUGGCGGCGUGCCUAAUACAUGCAAGUCGAGCGAACAGAUGAGGAGCUUGCUCCUCAGACGUUAGCGGCGGACGGGUGAGCUACACGUGGAUAACCUACAUAUAAGACUGGGAUCACUUAGGGAAACCGGAGCUAAUACCGGAUAAUAUAUUGAACCGCAUGGUUCAAUACUGAAAGACGGUUUUGCUGUCUCUUAUAGAUGGAUUCGCGUCGCAUUAGCUCGUUGGUAAGGUAACGGCGUACCAAGGCAACGAUGCGUAGCCGACCUGAGAGGGUGAGCGGCCAGACUGGAACUGUGGCACGGACCAGACGCCUAGAGGAGGCAGCAGUAGAGAAUCUGCCGCAAUGGGCGAAAGCCUGACGGAGCAACGCCGCGUGAGUGAUGAAGGUCUUCGGAUCGUAAAACUCUGUUAUUAGGGAAGAACAAAUGUGUAAGUAACUAUGCACGGCUUGACGGUACCGAGUCAGAAAGCCACGGCUAACUACGUG
rnacentral:rRNA from 1 species